rnacentral:rRNA from 1 species
UACGGGGGGGGCAAGCGUUGUUCGGAAUUACUGGGCGUAAAGGGCUCGUAGGCGGCCAACUAAGUCGGAUGUGAAAUCCCCAGGCUUAACCUGGGAACUGCAUCCGAUACUGGAAGGCUUGAAUCCGGGAGAGGGAUGCGGAAUUCCAGGUGUAGCGGUGAAAUGCGUAGAUAUCAGGAGGAACACCGGUGGUGUAGACGGCUUUCUGGACCGACACUGACGCUGAGACACGAAAGCGUGGGUAGCAAACAGG